UACAGAGGGUGCGAGCGUUAAUCGGAAUUACUGGGCGUAAAGCGCGCGUAGGCGGCUUUGCAAGUCGGGUGUGAAAUCCCCAGGCUUAACUUGGGAACUGCAUUCGAGACUGCAUUGCUAGAGUACUAAAGAGGGUCGCGGAAUUCCCGGUGUAGAGGUGAAAUUCGUAGAUAUCGGGAGGAACACCGGUGGCGAAGGCGGCGACCUGGGUAGAUACUGACGCUGAGGUGCGAAAGGCGUGGGGAGCAAACAGG
rnacentral:rRNA from 1 species